rnacentral:lncRNA from 1 species
GAAAAAAAUAAGACAGUUAAAGAAGUUCUAUCUUUCUGUAAGAAAUUUUCAAAGGAUGUUUCAAAGGCAGAAUUAUAAUCUUCGGUGUAAGGGGGUAGUGAUAACCGACAUGUCAUGCCUCCAGAACCUAUUCUGCUUUGUUUUUGCUUCUGUCAAAACACAGUCUGUCAUUGAGAUUGAAUUAAGAUUUCAUCUCCUCCUCUAAUUAUCUAUUCAUUUAUUUAAAGAGGAGUCAGGAGGCUAGCCGAACAUUAAAAGCUGACUGUGACCUCCUAAAAAGAUGAGUCAGGAAAUAAACUGGGGAGCACCAUGAAUCAUGGCAGAAAUAUAUUGACUGGGGAAAUAUAAGCUGCUCUUGCUCAGACGCUGAAAACACCAAGCCCUUAUCUUUUAUGGUUGGUGCCACGGUUUCUCAAAUACAGUCUGAUGGAUCUGGGAGAGCAGAACUCUUAGCGGAAGUUAUUUCUUUCCUUGUUAUGGAUCCAGAAUUCUCUUGGGCAUAAACUACUUUCCUUCUUGGCUGGUGACCUCAGGCAAUUAUGAGGACUUGAGGAUGAUGGAGCUGGGGUAUCUGUCAACUCACCGGUUGCCAGAGUCCAUGUGACUAAUAUGGCUGGCUUGAUGUUCUCUUCCUCACUCAUCACAUAGUGAGGAAUCCUCCUGAAAUUCCGUG